GAUGAACGCUGGCGGCGUGCCUAAUACAUGCAAGUCGAGCGAACAGACGAGGAGCUUGCUCCUCUGACGUUAGCGGCGGACGGGUGAGUAACACGUGGAUAACCUACCUAUAAGACUGGGAUAACUUCGGGAAACCGGAGCUAAUACCGGAUAAUAUAUUGAACCGCAUGGUUCAAUAGUGAAAGACGGUUUUGCUGUCACUUAUAGAUGAAUCCGCGCCGCAUUAGCUAGUUGGUAAGGUAACGGCUUACCAAGGCAACGAUGCGUAGCCGACCUGAGAGGGUGAUCGGCCGCACUGGAACUGAGACACGGUCCAGACUCCUACGGGAGGCAGCAGUAGGGAAUCUUCCGCAAUGGGCGAAAGCCUGACGGAGCAACGCCGCGUGAGUGAUGAAGGUCUUCGGAUCGUAAAACUCUGUUAUUAGGGAAGAACAAAUGUGUAAGUAACUGUGCACGUCUUGACGGUACCUAAUCAGAAAGCCACGGCUAACUACGUG
rnacentral:rRNA from 1 species